CUCAUACACACAUUUCAACAGCCCAGGGAGAGGAUGAGAGAAGGAGAGUGAUUAGGGAGAAGUAGAGAAGAAGAGAGAAAAAAAAAAAAGAAAAAAAAAAGGAAGAAAAUAUGCCUUCUUGAGUCAAGGACAUGUGGCAUCCUUCUACUCAUUUGGAGGUUAUGAGAAG